GCCUACGGGAGGCAGCAGUGAGGAAUAUUGGUCAAUGGGCGAGAGCCUGAACCAGCCAAGUCGCGUGAAGGAUGACGGCCCUAUGGGUUGUAAACUUCUUUUGUCAGGGAGCAAUUGGGUCCACGUGUGGGCUUAGCGAGAGUACCCGAAGAAAAAGCAUCGGCUAACUCCGUGCCAGCAGCCGCGGUAAUACGGAGGAUGCGAGCGUUAUCCGGAUUUAUUGGGUUUAAAGGGUGCGCAGGCGGAAGAUCAAGUCAGCGGUAAAAUUGAGAGGCUCAACCUCUUCGAGCCGUUGAAACUGGUUU
rnacentral:rRNA from 1 species